UCUCCUGCGGGAGGCAGCAGUGGGGAAUAUUGGACAAUGGGCGCAAGCCUGAUCCAGCCAUGCCGCGUGAGUGAUGAAGGCCCUAGGGUUGUAAAGCUCUUUCACCGGAGAAGAUAAUGACGGUAUCCGGAGAAGAAGCCCCGGCUAACUUCGUGCCAGCAGCCGCGGUAAUACGAAGGGGGCUAGCGUUGUUCGGAAUUACUGGGCGUAAAGCGCACGUAGGCGGAUCGAUCAGUCAGGGGUGAAAUCCCAGGGCUCAACCCUGGAACUGCCUUUGAUACUGUCGAUCUGGAGUAUGGAAGAGGUGAGUGGAAUUCCGAGUGUAGAGGUGAAAUUCGUAGAUAUUCGGAGGAACACCAGUGGCGAAGGCGGCUCACUGGUCCAUUACUGACGCUGAGGUGCGAAAGCGUGGGGAGCAAACAGGAUUAGAUACCCCAGUAGUCCCA
rnacentral:rRNA from 1 species